ensembl:lncRNA
AUGCCGCAUCUCCCUUCCAUUCUUUCAGGUUUAGUGUGUAGCAGUGCCGGUUCUAAAGUAGGACAGUCUGGGGAAGAGGUGGUGCCGCAGCACACCUCUCCGGCAGUGGCUGUGCUGGGUGGCACCUCCGCGGCUGCGCAGAAUGUGGCCGGGCCACCCCAGCAUGCCCUGCAGCCAGUCGCAGCUGCCACUCUACAACCAUCAUCGGUUGACAUCGCCACUGCAUCACAGCGGAAAGGAUACUCAAAGGCUGCAUGUAAAGACCAGUACAUCGCUCACGUUCAAAGAAACACCGUUACCGAGGAAUCAGAGGAGAUAUCAUCUGUCCAAAGAGGACUGGUGUCAGCUACUGCUGAAGACACACAAAAACUUACAGACACAUUGGAGGGUCGGACUCCCUCAGACAGACUUUUUGAGAGUGGGACAGAUAGCAUUUCGCAAAAACAAGAUUUGCUUUACAGGUGUAACAAAGAGCAAACAAAUCUUGCAUACAGGGAGACUGAUAUGGCGGAAGGAUCCAACACAGGCCACUGCCAAGAUUGGAGCCAACACCCUGGAGAUGCGGGGGGUGUCUCUGCCCCUGUUGAGACAGAAAAGGGACCCUUGCCUCCAGAAUCAAUCAAAUUGGGCUACAAGAACAUGUCUGGAAAGCACACACCUGGAGAAAGCCCCUUUGUCCCAACAACAGAAGUCAUCGCAGCAGUCUCAAGUGCAGUUAAGACAACAGACAAAGACAUGGAGCAGCCCCAUACAACUCCCCUUUUUCAGACAAAUCAGACUGCCACAUCAUCUGCGAUUGGCAUCCCACAGAAACAAAGUACGACCAAUUCAGCGAAGCAGGAUUGUAAACUUGACUCUAAGGCGGCUAUGGAAGUUGUCACACAAGAUCUGCCUAAAACAGACAAAGAAGGUGCAGUUAGUCCAAUUAGACAAACCUUGGGAACAAAACAAGGUAAUAGUGGAAAUUCCCUUUGCUCAGGAUAUUCAUCAUCAAAACAAGGAGGGGAGCACAUUACCCCUGACAGUGGAAAUAGCAUGCCAAAUGACUCAGAUAAGGGCAGCUGUUAUCCCCCAGAGGACUGCAGUAAAACACAAAAGGCUACACAAUGGACAAAAACACCUGGUGUGCCCACCCUGCCUGAGAAUACACAGUGUGUGCAAGAGCUAAGCUCUCAGUAUGUACGUUUAAGUGAAACCCCCAAAAUGUUAAAUUUGGGUAAGGGGACUAGUGCAAGGGAGGGGCAAGGAAACAAGAAAGUCCCUGUAGAUGGAGAUCUUUGUUUUAAUGUGGCUGCUAAAGUAUUUCGCAACAUUUCUGUUGAUGAACCAAAGGUGUCUGGGCAUGGGACAUGCACUGACAAUGUACAGGUCCCCAUUGUUAAUGAAAGUUCACAAGUCAUGGUUUGCGGCUCUUCUGAUGUGAUUUUGAGGCAGAAUGACAGUGCCAAUCGAAUAGAAAUAACCAUGUCCUCAAAUCACCAACAGGAUGGGAGCAUGCAGCUCGCACACACAGGGAACUGUGUGACUUUAGAGGGGCUAGAAUCAGAUCAGCCAAAUCUUUCUGACUGUACGGUCCAACAUGUACAAGAGUCCAUUCCAGCUGAUCAUAAACUCUCACAGAUUCAGAUAUGCCUGAAUGAUACUCCAGAUAUCGUGAAUGUGGAAGAGAGGCAAGAAGUGAGUGCAGAGGCUCUCGAUGCUGUUGAGGUGAAAGAUUUGAUCGAUGUAGGUGUUUUAAUGCAGCCAGAUAUGGAGGAUACCUGGCUGGUUGUAAGUGAGAUAGAUGGGCAGUCUGAGCAUGCAGAGAUGGAGGUCAGCGAGGAGUCUCUUGUGCAGUGCCCUGAAUCCCAGUCAACUGUUGCUGUAUAUGAAUGCACUGUGCCCUGCUUUACAUCAACUGCCCUUCACAGUGAUGUUAAGCUGCUGGUAACUGACAAAGAAGAGGAGGAACCAAUAGAAACAUUGACGCAAGACUCACAAGCCCAGAGUAAUCUAGGGAAUCAGACCUCAUCUCGUCCUGAUGCACUCAAACCCACCGAAGAGUUACUUACCAUGGCCUCUAUGCAAAAAGAAGAAUCUAUAAUUGUCAAGCAAAAUGAUGAUUCAACUCGCACUGAUCUUGCAAACACGCUGACAGGUUUAACAUCCACGGUGAUGAACGUCACACUUGAGUCUGUGCGAGAGCAGCAAGAAUCUGUUAUGGUGGAAAACACACCAGGUGUGUCAUUAAUUUCAUUGUCUUCUGGGACGAUUGAUCCAAAGCUACUGAUCCUAAAGAAGGGUGACAGCCCUGCCCUUAAGCAACCUUCUUCAGUGUCUGCUAGGAUCUCAACCAAGCAGAACUUACCUGUCCUGGCUGGAUCACCCAGUGAUGGAUUAAAUAAAGCUGCAGAGUGCCUUGCUAAAACUGAAUCAGCUGCAUCCUCCAUCCAUCCUUCUAAUGUACUUUCACAGAACAGCUCUGUGAAAGAAAACUUAGAUAAAUCAAACAGUUCUGGCAAGUUGCUUCAAAAGGAAUCCUCUGCUAGUGCUUCUUCAUCAACUUCAGUUCAACUCCAUAACUCAAAAAGCCGCCUUCCUCCUCCUGCUGGAGAUGUGUGGGGUGCUGUAUCCAGUGUUGUCCCAGAUUCAAUGAUUUUGGGGGUUGAACUGGAGAUGGAGCAGCAGCAGUUACCAGAAGAACUUUUGUCAACAACGCAAGAUGCUCAGAACUCCAUCCUGGAGUCACUUGAUGCUUCUAUAGAGGAGAGCAGCGAUGCAGAGGUUGACAGCUCUAUGGAUGUCCAGAACGAGGACAGCAAUGCUACUCCCAGUCCAGCAGCGAACAAGGUAAAACCAACUAAAUUAUUAACUCGCCUAUUAUGA